UCCUACGGGGGGCAGCAGUAGGGAAUUUUCGUCAAUGGGCGCAAGCCUGAACGAGCAAUGCCGCGUGAACGAGGAAGGUCUUCGGAUCGUAAAGUUCUGUUGAAGGGGAAAAAGAGCGGAGAGAGGAAAUGGUCUCCGAUUGAUAUUACACUUCGAGGAAGUCACGGCUAACUACGUGCCAGCAGCCGCGGUAAUACGUAGGUGGCGAGCGUUAUCCGGAAUGAUUGGGCGUAAAGGGUGCGUAGGCGGCCUGCUAAGUCUGGAGUGAAAGGUACCGGCUCAACCGGUACAGGCUCUGGAAACUG
rnacentral:rRNA from 1 species